rnacentral:rRNA from 1 species
UACGGGGGGAGCAAGCGUUGUUCGGAUUUACUGGGCGUAAAGAGCGUGUAGGCGGCUAGGUAGGUCCGCUGUGAAAACUCGAGGCUCAACCUCGAGAGGUCGGUGGAAACCAUCUAGCUAGAGUCCGGAAGAGGAGAAUGGAAUUCCUGGUGUAGCGGUGAAAUGCGCAGAUAUCAGGAAGAACACCCGUGGCGAAGGCGGUUCUCUGGGACGGUACUGACGCUGAGGCACGAAAGCGUGGGGAGCAAACAGG